ACGCUCAGCUGCGAAUCGCCUCGCGCUUCCUCAAAGACCCUCUGAAGCCAGGAGGCACUGCCGCUCGCCGGCACCGCCACCGCCUCCUCCCGCCUCUCCUCGUCAGGGCGGGCGCUCCCGCCGCUCUCUGGGCGGAGUCAUCUGUGCAGAACUGAACCACAGCUGAAGCAGGAACCAGAAUUCUUGCUCUUCUCUACUUCUAUUCCUGAUAUUAGAGGAGAUUUCCGGUUUCCACAGAGCGUAGUUCAAUCGCCUUCUCUCCCCAGCCCAUGACCUGGUUAGACUGAAGUUCCUAGUCUGUGUAACAGGACAGUGCUGCUCUAGGCUGUAAAGAAGACUGUCAUGAACAUUCCUGAACACAGCAGCAUGAUGAGCACUAGGGCAGCAACCACACUGCAGUUAGUAUCUAUGAAGGAAGCGUAUGACUGGAGUUUUAUAUCAUUCUCACAAGCCAGCAACACACAGAUCUUCUCUUCAAGCACAUACAUUAACACACACUGUGAGGGCACAAUGAACAGGAAAAGAAGCACUGAAGCUGUACUUGCCAAACUGAAUACACUCAGGCCAACCACUUGACUCCGUGCCUCCGCAACAACUAUCCGUAACACUAGAACGGGGAUCCAGAGUCGCAGAGCAA